CUUCUUAUUGCUCUUUUCUUUUUUGGUUUUGAAAAUUAGGAUAGAAGUGAAUAAAUCCAAAGAUAGACAAGCGGUGCCCAAAGGCCUCAAGAACUCAAAUUGGAUCCACCAAGAUGAGUAGAGGAAGGACUUCACUGGUGGAUGGAGUGGUCAAACCAAAGCCAUUGCUCAUGCUUCCAUUACCAAGGGAGGUGGCGAGAUUGCAGGUCCAGAAGUG
rnacentral:lncRNA from 1 species